UACGUAGGGACCAAGCGUUGUUCGGAUUUACUGGGCGUAAAGGGCGCGUAGGCGGCGCGGUAAGUCACUUGUGAAAUCUCUGAGCUUAACUCAGAACGGCCAAGUGAUACUGCAGUGCUAGAGUGUGGAAGGGGCAAUCGGAAUUCUUGGUGUAGCGGUGAAAUGCGUAGAUAUCAAGAGGAACACCUGAGGUGAAGACGGGUUGCUGGGCUGAUACUGACGCUGGAGGCGCGAAAGCUAGGGUAGCAAGCGGG
rnacentral:rRNA from 1 species